ACCAAUACCAAAACACCACCGGGUGGGAAAGUUGAAAAGAACGGCAGAAGAGAGAGUUCAAGAGUACGUGAAACCGUUCAGGGGUAAACCUGAGAAACCCAAAAGAUCGAAUGGGGAGAUUCAUCGUCGACGAGGCUGGCUUCCGUUGGUGCGCAGAUAGCCCGCAAUUGGGACCAUUUCGGUGGUGUUUCAUAUUGCGAGGGUACACCAUCUUCGGCAAAUGUUCCGGUCGCGUAGUCGUGCACUUCUCCCUUAGUAGAACGUCGCGACCCGUUGCGUGUCGGUCUACGGUACGAGGCCGUUGCCUGUCGUGUCGCGUUCACGCGCGUACACGGCAGACGCUCGUUCACCUGGCCGGCUGCGUGACGGUACUCUGACGGUAUCGGGCCGCAACCAAUCCAUUUUCGAAUGUAUGUGCGUCAGGCCCGCCGCAAGCUCGGUUGCCACCCGGAUGGUACGGACUUUGUGCCGGCUCCGGGUCUAACCAGCUGUUGGCAGGCGGUGUCCUCGGACUGGCCAAGCUUUGAAUUACCGGUCAGCGACGCUACUGCUUUGGGUACUCUCAGGACCC
rnacentral:rRNA from 1 species